UCCCAGCAGUCCAAGUCGCAGCCACAAUUAUUGGGUCUAAAAUAUCCGUAGCUUGCUUUAUAAGUCUCUUGUGAAAUCUGGCCUCUUAAGGGUCGGGCGUGCAAGAGAUACUAUUUAGCUUGAGACCGGGAGACGUAAGAAGUACGAAUGGAGUAGCGGUAAAAUGUGUUGAUCCUAUUUGGACUAACAAUUGCGAAGGCAUCUUACGAGAACGGAUCUGACAGUGAGGGAUGAAGGCUAGGGGCGCAAAGUG
rnacentral:rRNA from 1 species